rnacentral:rRNA from 1 species
CACGCAGGCGGAUCGUUAAGUCAGGGGUGAAAUCCCGAGGCUCAACCUCGGAACUGCCUUUGAUACUGGCGAUCUUGGAGUCCGGGAGAGGUGAGUGGAACUCCGAGUGUAGAGGUGAAAUUCGUAGAUAUUCGGAAGAACACCAGUGGCGAAGGCGGCUCACUGGCCCGGUACUGACGCUCAGGUGCGAAAGCGUGGGGAGCAAACAGGAUUAGAUACCCUGGUAGUCCACGCCGUAAACGAUGGAUGCUAGCCGUCGGUGAGCUUGCUCUUCGGUGGCGCAGCUAACGCAAUAAGCAUCCCGCCUGGGGAGUACGGUCGCAAGACUAAA